rnacentral:rRNA from 1 species
AUACAGAGGGUGCGAGCGUUAAUCGGAAUUACUGGGCGUAAAGCGCGCGUAGGCGGCUUAUUAAGUCAGAUGUGAAAUCCCCGGGCUCAACCUGGGAACUGCAUCUGAUACUGGUAAGCUAGAGUUUUGGAGAGGGAAGUAGAAUUUCAGGUGUAGCGGUGAAAUGCAUAGGGAUCUGAAGGAAUACCAGUGGCGAAGGCGACUUCCUGGCCAAAAACUGACGCUGAGGUGCGAAAGCGUGGGUAGCAAACGGGAUUAGAAACCCUAGUAGUCC